CCACAUUUUGCUUGCUCCAAUACAAUUACACAUUUUUGCAUCUUCUCUUCAACAGGAUUCAAGAGAGUCAUGAAACUGUUGUUCCUGGUUAUGUGCUCCAUUGGACUGUGUUCCUCCCUUCCGGUAUCCAAGGAGGUCCAUGAUAGAGAGGAACGCUCUUCAAGUGAU